GAUGAACGCUAGCUACAGGCUUAACACAUGCAAGUCGAGGGGCAGCGCAGUGUAGCAAUACAUGGGCGGCGACCGGCGCACGGGUGCGUAACGCGUAUCCAACCUUCCCGUUACUCAGGGAUAGCCUUCCGAAAGGGAGAUUAAUACCUGAUGGUGUUUGAAUUCCGCAUGUUAUUCAAACUAAAGAUUUAUCGGUAACGGAUGGGGAUGCGUGACAUUAGGUAGAUGGCGGGGUAACGGCCCACCAUGCCUACGAUGUCUAGGGGUUCUGAGAGGAAGGUCCCCCACACUGGAACUGAGACACGGUCCAGACUCCUACGGGAGGCAGCAGUGAGGAAUAUUGGUCAAUGGGCGCAAGCCUGAACCAGCCAAGUAGCGUGAAGGAUGACUGCCCUAUGGGUUGUAAACUUCUUUUUUACGGGAACAACCACACCUACGUGUAGGUGUCUGCGUGUACCGUACGAAUAAGCAUCGGCUAACUCCGUG
rnacentral:rRNA from 1 species